CCUACGGGAGACUGCAGUAGGGAAUUUUCCGCAAUGGGCGAAAGCCUGACGCAGCAACGCCGCGUGAUUGAUUAAGCCCUUCGGGGUGUAAAGCUCUGUCAGUGGGGACGAAACUUUGCGGUACCCACAGAGGAAGCCCCGGCUAACUCCGGGCCAGCAGCCACGGUAAUACGGAGGGUGCAAGCGUUGUCCGGACUCAUUGGGCGUAAAGAGUUCGUAGGUGGCUUUUUAAGUCUGGUGUUAAAUGCAGAAGCUCAACUUCUGUUCGGCACUGGAUACUGGUAAGCUUGAAUGCGGUAGAGGUAAAGGGAAUUCCUGGUGUAGCGGUGAAAUGCGGAGAGAUCAGGAGGAACAUCGGUGGCGAAAGCGAUUUACUGGGCCGUAAUUGACACUGAGGAACGAAAGCCGGGGUAGCAAAUGGGAUUAGAUACCCUAGUAGUC
rnacentral:rRNA from 1 species